UUUUUCAAGAACACCAUACGGAUUUUUCCCUACUCCAGGUGUAGAUAGGCAAGGUGAGGACCAUCCACUGUAGCCUGCCUUCAGAUAUCAGCUUUUGGUUGGUGAGCUCCACAUCUUCCUGGAGUAUUGUCGAGUCACGUUCUAUAUAUGUUACUUUAUUUUAUGAGGAUGUCAGGGAAGCUGUCCCAACUUAUAUGUUAUGGUCAUGUUUUCUUAGAGGUUUUGCAGACAGUGUCCUGUGUAUAGCUUUAGGUAUGACAUGUCAACGGCCUUGUCGGCCCCUAUGUAUCUAUUUAAAUCUUUUUGAAUUAUUUAUGUGAGUUAAUUU